rnacentral:snRNA from 1 species
GGAUGUGAGGGUGAUCUGGCUGCGACAUCUGUCACCCCAUUGAUUGCCAGGGUUGACUCAGCUGAUCUAACUGGCUAGACAGGUGUCCCCUUCCUCCCUCACCACUCCAGGAGGAGCUGGUCUUUAGUCUAGGGUAUAGGAGUAGCUGCACUCCCCUGCUAGAACCUCCAGACAAGCUCUCAAGAAGCUAUACUUGACCGAAGUCACAGGGUGUCCCAAGUGCCUCUGAAAUGAUGCAAUCUCUGAGGUCCUCAAGCUGCCAGGGUUUACA